UUCUGGGAGGAUAUACAGAUUGAAAACUCUUUCUCGAUUCGGUGGAUGGCGGUGCAUGUCCGUUCUUAGUUGGUGGAGUGAUUUGUCUGGUUAAUUCUGAUAACAAACGACACUCUAUCCUAUUAGAUAGGUGCGUGGUUCUCUGCAAGUUGCAAACUUAGAAGGACAAGCAGCUCCUAGCCGCACGAAAAAUGAGCAAAAACAGGUAUGUGAUGUCCUUACAU
rnacentral:ncRNA from 1 species